rnacentral:rRNA from 1 species
UACGUAGGGUGCGAGCGUUGUCCGGAUUUAUUGGGCGUAAAGAGCUUGUAGGCGGCUCGUCACGUCGGGUGUGAAAACUCGCGGCUCAACCGCGAGCCUGCACCCGAUACGGGCGGGCUAGAGUUCGGCAGGGGAGACUGGAAUUCCUGGUGUAGCGGUGGAAUGCGCAGAUAUCAGGAGGAACACCGGUGGCGAAGGCGGGUCUCUGGGCCGAUGCUGACGCUGAGAAGCGAAAGCGUGGGGAGCGAACAGG